CUUUAUACUGUGAACUGCGAAUGGCUCAUUAAAUCAGUUAUCGUUUAUUUGAUAGUACCUUACUACAUGGAUACCUGUGGUAAUUCUAGAGCUAAUACAUGCUAAAAACCCCGACUUCAGGAAGGGGUGUAUUUAUUAGAUAAAAAACCAACGCCCUUCGGGGCUCCUUGGUGAAUCAUAAUAACUUAACGAAUCGCAUGGCCUUGCGCCGGCGAUGGUUCAUUCAAAUUUCUGCCCUAUCAACUUUCGAUGGUAGGAUAGUGGCCUACCAUGGUGGCAACGGGUAACGGGGAAUUAGGGUUCGAUUCCGGAGAGGGAGCCUGAGAAACGGCUACCACAUCCAAGGAAGGCAGCAGGCGCGCAAAUUACCCAAUCCCGAUACGGGGAGGUAGUGACAAUAAAUACUGAUACGGGGCUCUUUUGGGUCUCGUAAUUGGAAUGAGAACAAUUUAAAUCCCUUAACGAGGAACAAUUGGAGGGCAAGUCUGGUGCCAGCAGCCGCGGUAAUUCCAGCUCCAAUAGCGUAUAUUAAAGUUGUUGCAGUUAAAAAGCUCGUAGUUGAACCUUGGGUCUGGCUGGCCGGUCCGCCUCACCGCGAGUACUGGUCCGGCUGGACCUUUCCUUCUGGGGAACCUCAUGGCCUUCACUGGCUGUGGGGGGAACCAGGACUUUUACUGUGAAAAAAUUAGAGUGUUCAAAGCAGGCCUUUGCUCGAAUACAUUAGCAUGGAAUAAUAGAAUAGGACGUGCGGUUCUAUUUUGUUGGUUUCUAGGACCGCCGUAAUGAUUAAUAGGGAUAGUCGGGGGCGUCAGUAUUCAGCUGUCAGAGGUGAAAUUCUUGGAUUUGCUGAAGACUAACUACUGCGAAAGCAUUCGCCAAGGAUGUUUUCAUUAAUCAGGGAACGAAAGUUAGGGGAUCGAAGACGAUCAGAUACCGUCGUAGUCUUAACCAUAAACUAUGCCGACUAGGGAUCGGACGGGAUUCUAUGAUGACCCGUUCGGCACCUUACGAGAAAUC
rnacentral:rRNA from 1 species